UUAUGGACCCAAAGGCAGUAUUUGGUAUUUCCAUUUUCAAUUUUUAUGGGAAUAAUAACAGAAUUGACAU
rnacentral:tmRNA from 1 species